rnacentral:tRNA from 1 species
GGGGAUUUAGCUCAGUGGCAUAAGCACCUGCCUUGCAAGCAGGAGGUUGUGAGUUUGAUCCCCA